UUUUAAUACAUCUUAGGAAAAGCCUCAUUUCUUUCUCGCUGUGUAUGUGUCUAUUUUAAAGGCUAAUUGUAUUACAAAAGAUCCUCUUGUGUUUCACAGAAAACUAAGUUUCCUAUCUACUCUCUCUACAUCAUCUCCCGCUUUUAUGUUACCUUUCUAUGCCUUUUGAUUUUCUUAUGCAAACAACAUAUACAUUUUUAAGAAUUGGAUCUAUUCUUAUUAUUCUGUAACUUGCAUUUUUCACUUAACGAUGUCCCACAGACAUAUUGGUACCUGUGCCAUCAUCCUCACUGAGUUGGAGAUCUCAGUAUCUCUUUUUCAACCACAGGUGUUCAUCUUAAACGCAUGGUUGGUUUCAUGGCAUAAGAGCAAAGGACCUGUCAGGGACUCUUACUCGUUUCAUCAGGAGGGUACCUGUGGCUUGAUGGUGCCUGACAAAGAGGGAACCAUCUGGCAGCUCCAAUUUUGGCACCAUCAGCCCUUCCCUCCAAUUGGAAGGAAAUGCUUCCCUUGCUGGGGUUGAGCCCCAAAACUGGUCUGCGCCUGGCGUCCUCAAGGCACUGAGACCACAUGUAAAGCAGCUACCGAGACAGCGACACGGUUCCCGCAGCUGCCUGCACCCUCUCUCUGCCCUUCUCCCCUCCCUUCCAGCCUGUGGUCUGGGGCCCUGGGUAUUGAAACAUGUUCUUUCUGGUUGGAAAUGUGGAAAUACUCAGGAAUCUUUUCAGCUUAAACUCCAUUGAGUCUGGGGUGAACUUGAGAAUUUAAUCAGCUUGUAAAAAUGUUAACCGGC
rnacentral:lncRNA from 1 species